rnacentral:lncRNA from 1 species
CCUUGCUGUGGCUGUGGAGAGAGAAUGGUUCUCAGCUUCUGCCUGGAUGCUCUCUCAACUCUCUUAACCAAGCCACCUGUUCCUAUGACUUCAAUGAACAUCAUGAUAUAGAUAAGAAUCAUCAUGUUUGCCUUCAGCCCAGGCAUGGAUGGUCGGU